AGCAUUCAUGAGCAUUAAUUAAAUGUCUAGCUUAGUGACCAAGUUUGGGAUUAUGAACAAAAUAAAUUUUCUCUCUCAUUUCCUCCCAAACCUCACGCCUCUCCUCUCUCUCUCUCCCCUCUCAUUCUUUUUUCUUUCUUCCUCCAUUGUUGAUUAUGUUCCAAGCUUCCUAGAUUAAUUCUACACCAACAAACAUCAUUAGAGCAAGCUUUAAACACGUUAUAUCCUUGAAUCAAGAGCACAUUUGAAGGAUUCUAACGCUUGAAGUCAAGAGGAGGAUUUUAUUUUUCUACUCAAGAAUCAUUGAGUAAGUAUUAUAUUUACUUAGAUCUAGUUAUAUUUGAGUUAGAUAUGAGUAUAUAUUGAUAGAUCAAGCAAGAAAACAUCACCCACUUCAUUCUUGCAAUUUUCGAAAAUUAGGGUUCAUACCCCUUCAAAAAAAAUUCAUCAUCUAAUCUUAAAUUGAGAUUAUAUUCAUGCUAUUGAGAUCCUAUUUAGUCCAUUUCUACAUGCAAAUGAUGGAUUUAAAUUGAUAUGUGAAUUUUUGGAUGAGUUAGUUUACAUGAUUUUGAGAAGUUUGAAGUUCAUGGAUGGAUUGUUGAUUUGGUUAUGAAUUUGAGCUAUUGAGAUUGUUGAGAUGAUAUUUGAUGGAUUAGAAUGAUGAUUAAAGGUGUUUGAUGAAGAUUGAAGUGAGUUAGUUUGAUGAAAAAUAGGGUAUAGUUGGCUAUAUGCUUAAGAUUGACUAAUUGAUGAGUUAAUUUGGCUAGCUUACAAAGCUACUGACUUGAUGUAAUUCGACGGGGUUUUUGAUACCCAAAGAUCUUGAAAAUUUUAUGGUAAGUAUAUUUAAGUUUUAGGAACGUUCAUGUAAAAUUUUAAGUCUUUUGGACAUCGUUUGAUACCCUUUUAAAAUAUAAAUCUCCAACUGCAACUUUCCACCGAAAGUUUGGAAGAAACAGAUACUAGAGUCACCCUUUUCAGUAUCUUCCCCUGAGUUUUUGGUUUUCAAAUUUUUAUAUGAACGAGAUGAACAUGUUAGCUAGCUACCCACAAAAUUUGAAGUCAUUCUGACAAGAUCUACUAUUUUUCAAAAAUACAAACUUCCAGUUGCACAAAACUGCCGAAUAUGGUAGGCUGUGAUAAAAUGGUCAUAUCUCUUGAACCACUUAGAGUUUUUCAACCUACUUUUCUUAAAAUGAAAAUAGACUCAAAGAGGUUUCCAUGGAUGUGAGUCUCGAACCUAGGAAAGGUUCGAGGAGAAACAAUUUAUUCUCUUAAGUUAAGGCAGUGCAGAAUGAGAGAUUGAAUCUUAAAUAUAUAAUACGGUUAAUGAAUCCUGCUCUCUCCUUAAUCCGGGGUCCUACGUGGCAUCUCUAAGAAUUCACCAUUCAAAAUCCCUGCAAUUCUAGAGCCUCUAGCUCAAUUCUCUAUCGCUGACGUGGCAAUAUAAUUCCACAUCACUUAUUUUAUAUUUGAUUAUUUAAUUAAGUUAUUUUCCUUCACUAAUUUUCGAUAUCACCAAUUUCAAUUCCCCUUCACACACUAAUGAUUUUACCCUCACAUUCACCAAUUCCUCCACCAGCAGAUUUCCACCAACUGCACUCGGAUUCCAGUCGCCACCGCCGCCUUCACCGCGCCGGCCACCUCCCUUCCCCCGCAAGCCCUCCGAUCUGCAUCGCCGCCUCUUUCUUUCUUCAAUCGGCGGCUCCACCCCCCACCGCUCUCUCCGCCGCUCCCGCAGCCUCUGCCGCUUCUCCCGCCCCAUUGUCGCCAGAGCCGNCUGCGCUCGGAUUCCAGUCGCCACCGCCGCCUUCACCGCGCCGGCCACCUCCCUUCCCCCGCAAGCCCUCCGAUCUGCAUCGCCGCCUCUUCUUCUUCAAUCGGCGGCUCACCCCCACCGCUCUCUCCGCCGCUCCCGCAGCCUCAGCUGCUUCUCCGCCCCAUUGCACCGGAGCCGGAGGCCGAGAUGGACUACAUCAAAAACGUGCCCAGGGGAAAAUUCGUCAACACCACGAGGGGCUCGACCUCGCUGGCACCAACCGCGAAUUGCCGAGCCCCUAGAUCCCCAAAGUCUUACUGCCUCUUUGUGAUUUUCGGCGACCACGACAGCCAUGUCCGCCGAUUUGCUACCUCCCUUCCCCAUAUGGUAAGUAUUAAAUGUUUGACUAUUUUAAAUAUAGAAUGAUUAUUAUUUUAGAAAGAACAAAUUUUGGAAAGAUUUUUAACAAUGGAAACAUAAACCCUAGAUUUUUAUGUUAAUUAAUUUUCGGUAGCUGCAAAUUAUGUAAAUAUAGAAUGGCAAUAAACUUUAGAAAGAAUUUUUUUUUGGAAACAAUUUUAUCAAAGGAAACUUAAACCCUAGAUUUUCAUCUAUAAAUUCAUUAGUUUGAAUUAUUAAAGAUGCAGCAGACGCAAGGUAACUUCUUCUUCUUCUUUUGUUGUCUUUCUUUUCUUUUGCAUUAACGCGGCAAUACCUCCUUCUUCUUUUUCUUCUUUUUUCCAGAUUUUUGGUUUAGAGGAUUAAGGGAUUGCUUACUUCCCUGUUUUCGGCGGGUGGUGGCAGGAAAUUUUUGUUAGGUAAUAGAUAUAUAUUUGUACUGUAGAAACUUUUAUAACAUAAAUUAAUGAGUUCGAUUCUAUUGAUGGACGCUGCUUGCUUUUUUUUUCCUAUGUUUCUUUAUGAAAUUCUUAGAGGCUCUUAUUGUUCUCUGUCACUGCAAUGCAAUCUUGAUGAGGGUUUGACAUGAAAUCUAAUGUUUGUAUCUAAUUCUUGAAAUCAUGAAAGCUUCCAAAAAGUGGGACCUAAUGAAGCCUUCUGGAUAUGAAAUUUUUAGGAUAUAGUAUCUAGCUCAUAUUUCUUGGAUGUUUUACUUAAUAAACUAAAUCAUCUACGUGAGCUAUGUUCUGUAAGUAAUCAAUAUGUGAAUUGUGCUGCUGCCUGCAGUUUGAUAGUAUACUUGCUUCGUCUUCAUUAUUUUUCCUGAUUUGGGAAGGUCUUUGUGAUUGUACUUUUUGAAUUUUAUAUGUUACUUAUAACGGCUUUUUGAAUUAAUCUACAUGAAUAUUUGAUUUUUCAAAUUUUUGAUUUAGAUUUUGUUAAUUAACUCUAUGUGAUUGCUUUACUUCCCUGUUUUGGUUUAGAUUUUUGGCUAGAAGUAAGCGAUUGCUUUACUUCUCUGUUUUGCCGUGGCUGAGAUCUCUGAGCACAUCACCAACAAGGUCUCCGAGCACUACAUGAAAAGGUAAAUGCUUGCUGCCACAAUAAUGUUCCUUUGACUAAUAGUGUUUUUAGUUCACUAGCGGGCUGGCUAAUUGAGUGUUCUUUCAUACUUUGCACCUAAUUAUGUGAUUUGUGAAAAUUUCUCAAUCUUUUGUGACAAUUGCACUAUGAAUGGUGACAAUAGCGAAUGAUUUAAAAUGAUGUUUCCACGCAUAUUUAUGUGGAGUAGUGAUUUGAGGAAUAUAUUAUAUCUUUAUAUGCUAUAAUUCAUGAGUUUAUUUGUAUGGUGAUGCUAAUAUGUAGUAAGGUGAUGUAUUUGAGCUCUACAUCUCUUUAUUUAGCCAAGCUAUGAGUUUUGUUUAGUUGAAGCAAGACAUGCCCUGCUGUCAAUUCUUGGCUGGACUGGACAGAGUGUUGCGGGAUACUUUUGGGGGUGUUCCCGUGGUUCAAAUCAGUUGAAAUUUUUACAGUAAUAACUUCAUUACGAGUAGUAAAUAUCUGCAAAAUUUCAGCUAAAUCCGAGACCCUUAGAUAUGUCAAAUAAUUUUCUGAAAAGUACUGCACGAAGCAACGAAGUUCAGUGGCAGAUUCUGCCUUUUGUGAUAUAAUUUCCUAUACACUUGAUAUAUGGUAUUUUUGUAACUUUCUACUAAAGAUAGACUUUAAUAGCUUUCUAAAAAGGUAAAUCUUGCAUUUUUCUUUGAAGUAAUUGAUUUUAUAUGAUUUUUCAAAGUUAGAAUUCAAAUGUAUAUGGUUCUUAAACUUGCGAGUGAUAAUUAGUUGAAAUUCUAAACUACUAAACUUGGAUUGAGUGUUUAUUUUCUUUUAACUUUUAUUUUAUUCUCACUUUAUUGUGCAUUAGAUUCUUUUGGAAUUAAUCGAGUGAGAUAUAAUGCAAUGUUUUGGUUUUCUGAACCUCUUGGAUUUUUUUUUGUUAGAUAACCAGCAGCCAUAUUUAGAGUACAAGGGGAUCAUAAGGUGGAGACUUUCUAUCUAAUUGCUGAAAAUUAGAUUUAAGUGAAACGAGUUCUCAAUUUCGCAUGUAAUGAAAUGCAAUUGUAGUAGGUUUUGUACUCUAAUUUUGGUUUAUAAAUCAACUUUUCUAAUUUUAGUGAUUUGGAAUACUUCCUUUUGAUUUACCUAUAUCUCUUUGUCUUAUUGUUAUUUCAGAAGGAGCUAUGUGUAUGACCCGGAAUGGAACAACUUUGCCUAAUAAGGAAUCUUUUGUAUGGGUUUAUUAGGCUUUUUCAACAUCAUUCAAAACCCCAUACAGUGUUAGCCGGACAACUGGAGGAGUCUCACAUUUGUUUGCAAACGCUGCAAACAAAUGAAUCAUUUCUCUGUCUUUCUUAAUUUUGUUAACUUUUGAUUUUGUCAACUCAAAACUAUAAUUUGCAAUACAUAAUUUAUAAUCACAUAUGGGGUGACAGGAAGGCACGAGCUAACAUGUGACUUCAAAGAAUUCAUAUUCGAACUCUUAGUAGCAUGGAUUAUUACGUUUAGCAUUAUUUAGACAAUAUUAUUUUAUAAAAUAUUUUUAUAAUUUGUUUGAAUAAAAAUUAUUAUCUAUCAUUGUUUGACAUAUAAUAUAGACAUUUUCUAUUAUAAGUUUGACCUCUCAUAUUAACACUUAUUUUUUUGAAAAAUAUCUAUAAUUUAUAUAUAUAUUAUAUGAAAUAAUUUUACGUUCUUUUUUUCUUAUAAAUUAUAACAUUAAAUGAUUUUC
rnacentral:lncRNA from 1 species